UUUGCCCAGAGUCAAACUAAACUUUGCUUCUCUUCCAGAAAGGGGAGAAAUGGAAAUAAUAUUUCUCAGAGACAGCUCACAGUGAUUUCUUCAAGAAGCCAGCUAGCUUGGCCUGUACAUAUUUCACUUCUUAAAAGGACGAGUGUAAUGAAGAGACUGAGACUAUCUCCUGUGUCUCUAAUAAUGAACAUCCUUUCAAGAUGAAGAGUCUUAUCUCCGAGGAAACUGGAAUAUAGCACAAGGAAAAGAGGCAACCUCUAUGUGGAAAAGAAGUUUAUAUGCACCUCCAGAAGAGAGCAACAGAUCCUCUAGAACUGGUGUUAUAAGAAAUUGUGAAGCAGCAUGAGGGUGCUGGGAAUCAGACUUUGGUUCUCUGCAAGAACAGAAAGUGC